rnacentral:misc_RNA from 1 species
UUUCCGUAGGUGAACCUGCGGAAGGAUCAUUAUUGUAUAACCGAGGUGCGAGGGCUGUCGCUGACCCGAAAGGUCGUGCACGCCCGAGUGCCCUCACACACAUCCAUCUCACCCCUAUGUGCACCACCGCGUGGGUCCCCCUUUGGCUUGUUCGGAGGGGGGCUUACGUUUUCACACAAACUUUGUAUGCAGUGUAGAAUGUAUUUUUUGUUUUUGCGAUCACGCAAUCAAUACAACUUUCAACAACGGAUCUCUUGGCUCUCGCAUCGAUGAAGAAA